GCUUGCUGCUUCGCUGACGAGUGGCGGACGGGUGAGUAAUGUCUGGGAAACUGCCUGAUGGAGGGGGAUAACUACUGGAAACGGUAGCUAAUACCGCAUAACGUCGCAAGACCAAAGAGGGGGACCUUCGGGCCUCUUGCCAUCGGAUGUGCCCAGAUGGGAUUAGCUAGUAGGUGGGGUAACGGCUCACCUAGGCGACGAUCCCUAGCUGGUCUGAGAGGAUGACCAGCCACACUGGAACUGAGACACGGUCCAGACUCCUACGGGAGGCAGCAGUGGGGAAUAUUGCACAAUGGGCGCAAGCCUGAUGCAGCCAUGCCGCGUGUAUGAAGAAGGCCUUCGGGUUGUAAAGUACUUUCAGCGGGGAGGAAGGGAGUAAAGUUAAUACCUUUACUCAUUGACGUUACCCGCAGAAGAAGCACCGGCUAACUCCGUGCCAGCAGCCGCGGUAAUACGGAGGGUGCAAGCGUUAAUCGGAAUUACUGGGCGUAAAGCGCACGCAGGCGGUUUGUUAAGUCAGAUGUGAAAUCCCCGGGCUCAACCUGGGAACUGCAUCUGAUACUGGCAAGCUUGAGUCUCGUAGAGGGGGGUAGAAUUCCAGGUGUAGCGGUGAAAUGCGUAGAGAUCUGGAGGAAUACCGGUGGCGAAGGCGGC
rnacentral:rRNA from 1 species